UACGUAGGGGGCAAGCGUUGUCCGGAUUCAUUGGGCGUAAAGGGUGCGUAGGCGGCGCGGUAAGUCGGGUGUGAAAUCUCGGAGCUUAACUCCGAAACUGCAUUCGAUACUGCCGUGCUUGAGGACUGGAGAGGAGACUGGAAUUUACGGUGUAGCGGUGAAAUGCGUAGAUAUCGUAAGGAAGACCAGUGGCGAAGGCGGGUCUCUGGACAGUUCCUGACGCUGAGGCACGAAGGUCAGGGGAGCAAACGGG
rnacentral:rRNA from 1 species